GACCUGCAUUGAAUUCCCCACUCCACUAAUGGAUGGUAACCUUUGCCUUUCGGGGUAGUUUAGAAGAACAAUAAACAGACAAGCCACAAUUUGACUAAUGUCAUAGAGAGCCGGUCACAGCAAAAUCUGUAUUAUGCAUAGAGGGCCAGUUCAUCAGGAGGGCAACUCUUCUAAGUCUUCAGUGUGGAAACAAGAUGUGAACUGGACUGACUUCCUGUUUGAUGAAAACACCUGCAGACAUUUUAAGGAUAAUGCAUUGAGGUGCCGUUGUGAAGACUAGUUAUUUUGGAAGUUGGAUGAGGAGCAGUUAGUUGGAAAUUAUGCUGAUCUUACAAAUUGUUACAUCCAGUGAGGAAGUUCACUUUGCGUUAAAGUCAGUUUGUGUGGUAGUUGGAGACGAAAGCUGUGGGUUUGCUUUGGGAUUAAAUGAAAAGUAAAGCACAUCUUUUUAUAGAUGAAUAAAUGAAGUAAGAAAUUACAAUGGAAUUGAGCACCAGUAUAAUUGGGAGAGCAGGCAAGCAACUAGUGGGAAUUUUGCUGGCCGUAAAUGAGUAUGAUAAUUCUCUUGAUGUGAUGCCUGCUGCAUUACACUGUGGAUAGAAGGAAAGCUUGCAUUGAUUAGAGGAAGGGAAGUGACCAUGGGAAAUUUCAACAGAGAAACGGCCUCUGUUAGUCUGAGAGGGGGCUAUAGGAGGUGAUAUUCUCGACUCCCAAGAAUAUUAGUGUAUUCUUACUCUUGUUCAGAAUAAUGAAGCUCCUCCAAAAUUGUAUUAACACAUUUACUGUAACAGCUAGAAGAGUUAAUAUUUGGUGAUUUGUGGUAAAGCUGUUUAAAAAAAUGGUGUAAAAUUAAUCACAGGUACUUAAAUAAUAAUUUGUAAUGUGGAACUUGAAAUAAACGAAUAGAUACAAAAAGA